UAAAACACUGAGCUAUCCAGAAGUUCAUCUAUCAGAAAAGGGUAUUGCCUAACUGGUGUCAGAGAACUGGAUCUAAGAUGUUCUUCAUGCAAAGGAUUUGAGCCAAGCCAACUCGGACAUCUUGGAGAACCUUUGACCACAGGUGGCUUGAGAGGUUAGACUCUUAUAAAGCAGAUGACCUGGAAGUGAACCAUGAAAAACCAUGGAAGCACCCUGGGCUUUGAACUCUGACUUUCUCAAUCUAGCAGCCAUAAGAAAGCAACCAAAUGAGCCACCAGAUAUUCCUCUUCUUCCCUUCUGGAACCUGAAAGAUGAAAAAAGGUGCACUCUUAAAACUCAGUGGUUCCUUUUCAAGAGCAUAAUCCACUCUGCCACCUCAUUCUUCUACUGUAUGUGCAGAUAAGACAGGACUUGCUGUAUGGCGCCCAGACACUUGUGUGUUGGUAGCACAAAUUCUUUGCUACAUGCUGUCACUAUAUGCUGUAGUUUUCGUGCUCUGUUUGUAUAUAAACCUUAGCCCAGAUUUGUCUUAGUGCAGACAUUGUGGAAAUAAAUAAAUAUGACAAAACCCA
rnacentral:lncRNA from 1 species